UUUGCAGUAAUAACCAGCAGUUUCAAAAGCAGUUCCACUUCGAAAUUCGGAGACAACGGUGGGAAGGUGAUCGAUGAGGAUCCGUCUGAAAACUGGCUAUUUCCCAGCGUAGCUUCGGCUUCCCUUGAACUGGAGACCCAUUCCAAUUCUCCGACAAACAAAGGGAUGUCGCUUAUUCUUCAUUUUACUCUUUUCUUAUCGCUGACGUUUGCUCCAUUUCUUAGGUGACGCUUACAAUAUUAGACGUGGAAACACGUUACCGAACUGAUAUUACUGUAACGUUUAUGUAUGUGCAGUUAACGUACGAGUCAAAAUAUUUAGUGUUAGCUAUUCAAACAGCGGUAUUUUGUGAAAUUUAUCAUAUCAGUAAAAGUACUAGGCUGUCGAAAAAUUGUGCAGUACACAUAUUAUACAAAAGACAUAAAAAAUAUCAUUUUACAAUUAUGUGACUAGUUUAUCAAAUGAAUAUGACUAAAUGUAUUUGUAUUCGAUUUAAAUUGAGAAGGAGUUGAAAUAACUUGGUGAGAGAUCAGAGCUUUUGAACUAUAUUGACAAACUCAAAUGAAGAUGAACACUAUAUGAUGACUGUUAUUUUAUAUCAGAAGUUAUAUUUGUAGGUGCAGAAUGAUAAAUCAGAUUCUGGAUCAAUAAAAAUUUAAUGUUUUUCAA